UUUAAUAGGGACUAUAUAUUAAAUAAUAAAACUUGAGGACUUAAUAUUAAAUAUUAAGUAGUUAAAUUUUUUCAUUGCAGGCAAACAAGUUGUGUCUCAACCGACUCACCCAUGCUUACUCACUAUUUUUAACAAAAUCCCAGAUUGUUAUCAAAAAAAUCGACUCUCUACCCAAUUAACUCUCUUAUGUGUUUCGCAUAUUAAGGUGAUUGUAAUUACGCAGAUUUGAUUUCAAAAUUGCACCACCUGCAUUUCUCUCGCCUUUUUCUUCAUAUUGUCUAGGGUUUACUCGAUUGAGCUCGAAAUUUCAGCUUCAAUGGGCGGCGAAAAGAGAAGAAGGCAUGAUGUUGGAGUUGUGCACUCUAAUGGCAGAUUCAAGAAGCCUCAAACAAGUCUAAAGCAGAAUACGACAAGGAAUGUAAGAUCUGUGCAAGGCCUUUUAAAUUUUUCUGCUGGAGACCAUGUCAAGAUGUAAGAUAUAAGAAAGCAGAGUAAAUUGAAAAAUAUAUGUCAAGUAUGUCUAUUUGAUCUUGAGUGUGGUUUGCUGGUCCAAGUUCGAGACGCUUCUCUUAGCAUCAGAACCAAUAAUGCCAUUCCUAAGAGUGAUGUGAAUAGGGAUUAUUUUGCCGAGGAACAUGACUGCAAGGUAUUUCUCUAACAUAUUUGGACUUUGGGGAUAUGUUUAGCCUAAUUAUAGGGGAGGAGAAUGGUAAUAUUUAAUACUAUGUCACAAUAUGGGUUUAACGACAUCUAAGAAUUCUACAUUGGCCUAGAGCAGCUCAACUUGCUUGAGAUUGGUUGUGGGUUGGGUACCGGACCCUUACUAUCUAACUUGUAAGGGGAACUAGGUGCCAAAUACACUUGAAUUACACUUCCAGAAGAGCAACACCUGGGACUAUGCUUUUGCUGGGGUAGUUGGUGAUAAAUAGUGCUUUUGCAUGCCAUUACUGUCCCUCGUGGUGCCUUCUUAGGUAGAUCGUUCCUUACAUCAAGUUAUGUGUAUCCUACUAUUUAGUUACUUCGACUCUUUAAUGUUUCCUGAAUAGAUACGAAUGCUGAACCGCAAGGAUGUCAUAGCAAAACAUUACCUUAUCAGUGUUAAAUAUCAUAGCAAAGAUCUCGAAAUGAAUGAGCACCUAAGUGUUCUUAUUACUCAUGUAAUUUAUUUUGAUUAUCACAUGUCAAGUGUCUGGUGUUACGUUCGUGCACUAGUUAUCAGUUGUAUCCAUGGUGGUACCUGAGUAUAUGGCUAUACUGAUUACUGCAUCCUGUAAGGGGGUCGAAAAAGCACGAGGCUAAUGCGUGACCUUGUCCCUCGUGGGUGUGACGCUUCUUUUUUAUUCAAUCAAGUGUAAUUGGAUUUCCUGUGAGUUUACACCCAAUUGACUAGUAAUAUAGGAGUCGCCAUUCAGUUUUUAACGACAAUGAGAAAAACUGACAAACCCCGGUUAUCGUGACAU